AUGAACGCUGGCUACAGGCUUCACCCAUGCAAGUCGCGGGGAAACGACGGGGAAGCUUGCUUCCCCGGGCGUCGACCGGCGCACGGGUGAGUAACGCGUAUCCAACCUGCCUCUGACUGAGGGAUAACCCGUCGAAAGUCGGCCUAAUACCUCAUGGCAUCGUCUGCGGGCAUCCAACGACGAUUAAAGAUUUCAUCGGUCAGAGAUGGGGAUGCGUCUGAUUAGCUUGUUGGCGGGGUAACGGCCCACCAAGGCGACGAUCAGUAGGGGUUCUGAGAGGAAGGUCCCCCACAUUGGAACUGAGACACGGUCCAAACUCCUACGGGAGGCAGCAGUGAGGAAUAUUGGUCAAUGGGCGAGAGCCUGAACCAGCCAAGUAGCGUGCAGGAUGACGGCCCUAUGGGUUGUAAACUGCUUUUAUGCGGGGAUAAAGUGAGGGACGUGUCCUUCAUUGCAGGUACCGCAUGAAUAAGGACCGGCUAAUUCCGUG
rnacentral:rRNA from 1 species